CAGCUCCCUGCUCCGCCAUGGUGCUCCGAUGACGCGCCCCGAGAGCCGCUCCGCCCUCUUCCUCGGCUCCGCUCCCGCCGGGGCCCCCGCCUCCCGGGGCCCGCGGCCCAGCCAGAAUGCUCCAGAGCCUCCUCGUUAGCCGGCUGUCUGCCCGCGGUGAUUGCCCGGACCUGACUAUCACCUCUGAAAGGCCCAGGUUAAGAUCCUUCCCCGACAAGAAGAAAUGUGUCCCCCUGCCCGGGCCCAGUAGGCCUACCCUCUGAACUUCACUAGCAGACGCUGGGUUUAACACUUGCCCAACCCGUGAAACCUGGGGAGAUUUAGGGCAAAUUUGGGUCUUCGAUCUGAUGUCCAUUUUUGCUGGCAGGGACUUGGUCUUCUGUGGGUGUCUCUAGGGGGUUUCCAUAGAGUCUGGAACUAUGAGUUAUCGUAAUUGUCCACAGGCUGAAAUGUCCUUGCUGACAUCGUAUACACUAUCUGCAUUUUAUUUCUCUUCUACGGCGCUAUAGUGUCUCACACGUCAUAGCCAUUCAAGUGGGUGAUGUUCAUCUUUGUCAGACUCCUUUAUGCAGUGGCCUAGCAAUGAAGGGAGCAAGGUAUGCCACGGCAGAAUUCAGAGAAAGAGACAAGGAUGUUGUUAAAAACAAAAACAAAAACCACCACUGGAUCCAUUUCUGGAAAGUCCAGUUUCUCUCUCUUACAGUACCGGCACCACCAUCCCUGCGUAACUCCUCUGCCCUAAACUAUAUCCCCAGGCUCGGCUUUCCUGUCUUGAAAAGCUUCUUGAUUCCCUCUGGCGGAUGUAGCCAUAGCCCUUCCUACACUUUUGAGUCCACUUCUGACAGCGGGCUUGAGGGGCAAGAACCUCGUCUUCACUCACAUACCACAACAUGUACUGCCCAGCAUUUAUUAUUUACUUCUCGUGCUGGGUGUAUGAUGUGUGCGGACUCAGCUUGCACACACGUGUGGAGCGCAGGGGACAACUGUUGCAUCACUUCCCUCCCUCCACCUUUACACGAGUGCUGGGGAUUGGUAGAUCAUAGGCUACCAGGCUCGCACGGCAAAGCACCUUCACUCACUGAGAAGAGCAAUAAGCAAUCUUUUUUUUUUUUUUUUUUUUUUUUUUGGUUUUUCGAGACAGGGUUUCUCUGUGUAGCUUUGCGCCUUUCCUGGAACUCGCUUUGGAGACCAGGCUGGCCUCGAACUCACAGAGAUCCGCCUGGCUCUGCCUCCCGAGUGCUGGGAUUAAAGGCGUGCGCCACCACCGCCCGGCUCAAUAAGCAAUCUUAAGCACUGAACUUGGCCCACUGUUGUCAGGGACAAGGACAGAAUCUCUAGUUAGUGGAAAAAUACAGACCCCCCAUAAGACAGGGAACUAGAUCAUCUUACAGUCAGGUUGCCUAGCAACAGGACAUUGAGGCAGAGCCCUUGACCCUUUCACCCUGUAAACAUCCUAUACAAACAUCCUGUUAGCUUGCCCCACCUUAUGCAGAUGACAGCUUCUUGCUCCCCCCACCCUGCAGGAACUAUAUAAACCCUCUUGGAGAAAAAUAAAGUUGCACCUUGAUCAGAAUCUAGACUUGGUGUAUUUCCUUGUAUCUCCUGUCCCUAUCAGUCUGUCCUUAGGGUGGUCGAGAACCCGUUGAAGCCCUGCGGGCAGGGCCCACUGUCAGUAUUUAACAAAUGCUUUCUGAAUGAGAGACUAUCCCAAGAGCAGGCAGCACCUGAGCUCUUAUUAUACCCUAAGCACUAAGUACCUUACCUGUGUUGUCCUUACUGGAAUCUUAGAACAACCCUUUGAGGAAGGCACACGAUUUCCCCAUUUCACAGUGGCGGCAACUGAGACACAGAGAUGUUGUGUGAUGUUUUAUUUGUGUUUCUGACAAAUAAAGCUUGCCUGGAGAUCAGAGGGCGGAGCUAGCCACUAGUUAACCAUAGAAGCCGGGCAGUGGUGGUGCACACCUUUAGUCCCAGCACUUGAGAGGCUCACACCUUUCAUCCCAGCACAUGGGAGUUGGAGACAGGAAUAUAAGGCAGGUGGAGACAGGAUCUUGGCCCCCAUUUGGUCAGAGGAUCUGGAGAGGUAAGAGGUCACUGGUGGCUGCUCCUGUUUCUCUGAUCUUUCAGGUUAUUACCCGGAUAUUUGACUCCUGGUUUUUAUUGAUAAGACCAGUUAGAAUCACAUUACACAGAGAGGCUAAUUUGCCAAAGGUCACAAGUUAGGAGAGAGCUUUCCUCUGGGAUAGGGAAUGGUUACGGUCUCUACACUUAACUGAAGCCACCAUCUCCCUACCAUACCUAUUAGAGGGGCUGUUUCCCUCUUUGCUUUCUCAGAAAUGAGGUGUGAUUUGAUGAUGUUAAUUCACCCAUGGGGAAUUUAAAAAGAUGUGCCUGAUCCUUUUUUUUUUUUUAGAUUUAUUUUAAAUUAUGUGUAUGUAUACAUGUCUCUGUGUGCAUAUGAGUUUGGGUAUCCAUGGAGGCUGGAGGCAGAUUCCCCUGCAGCUGGAGUUACAGGUAGCUACAGGCUGCCUGAUGCGGGAGCUGGGAACCAAACUUGGAUCCUUUGGAAGAGCAAUAAGCAAUCUUAACCACCGAGCUACUCCUCCGGUCCCAAGGUACCAGCCGGGUCCUUCAGGUGGCAGAUCACUAUCUUUUUGUUGUUGCUAGACUUGAACUUAAAAGUCCUACACAGAGCUAAGCUAGUACUCUGUGAUAUUACCUAAUAAGUAUCUAGGUCAUUUGAACAUGAAUCUAGGUUGAGAAGCCCUGGCACAGUGAUGCUAAAGGCGUUCCCAGUACAAACCUCUCAUGAACCUUAAUCCACAACGGAACGACCUCCUUGUGUGUAUGAAACAAAACGCUAACAAAAGCCUGAUGGUGACUUGGGAACAUAUUGUGAAUUAUGAAGGCUCAAAGCCGGGGUCAGGGGUGGAGGAUGGGGAGGCAACAGAGACAGACACUAGGGGUGGGGGAAGACCUAAGGAAAAAAUGAUAUGAUUGAAGAGUUGGUUGAAAAUGGGUAGCUUGCUGGGCAGUGGUGGUGCACGCCUUUAAUCCCAGCACUUGGGAGGCAGAGGCAGGCGGAUCUCUGUGAGUUCGAGGCCAGCCUGGUCUAUAGAGUGAGUUCCUUCUAUACAGAGAAAUCCUGUCUUGAACCCCACCCCCACCCCCCCAAAAAAAGAAAAUGGGUAGCUUGAUCCUAUGUACAUAUAGUAUAUAAGAAGCAUUUAAAACAUUGGAAUUAACGAGACAAACUGUGUCUGAACCUAUUUUCUUCAAAAUCUCCACUAAGGCGUCAAGAGACUAGUGACCUGUCCAAAGUUUUAAAGUGUUUUAAAGAAGUGUUUUAAAGUCCAAAGUGUUUUAAAGAAGAUCAACCCUGUCACUGUCCAAUAAGAAAAUAUUCAGGAGAAUAUUUCAUAUAUUCAGAUGCACUAUAUGAUGCAUUAUACUUUUAUUUUCACAUAGAAAUAAAGACCAUUUCUAUUAUUGAAGACUUUUGUAUGGGUUAAACCGUGGUACUCGAACACCUCUUCAUUGUUUCCAUCCUGUGUCAUAAGCACAUUCUUGUGUAUGUCAGAAAUUUAUGUAUCCAUCCAUGAGCUUCAGAUCUCAUCCUGUUAAUGUGGGAAGGCUCAUAAAAAUAUAAGAUUUGGCUCAAAGCCUCCCCAACUAUGGGACCCACAUCAAGGAGACAGAAACGAAAGUGCUGUCUAUUAGGAUCCUUCUUGCAAACCUCUCAGAUAUGGAGUGGUGUCUACUUUUUCAAGGUAACGUGGGGUCUUGGGAAAAAUACACCGAGGUUUUACAAAUUUUCACUUUUACCACUCUCUUGCCCCCCUGUUGUCCCCAAGGAACAAUCCAGAUCCCAACUGUCUUCUCCUUGUUUGAGUAGAGACAGAGUCUACUUAAUAUCAUAACUGAACAACAACAGCAACAACAACAAAACCCAACUAAAUUUUAACCCAGUCAUUUAGUUCAUCAGCACAAAAUAAGAAUGUUCUGGACUUUAUCAAAGUAGCAUGUUGGCCAUCUUUUUACUUUCUGGGUAAACAUGUCAUAAUCGGUAGCUUUAGAACAAGCUAACAUCACCAUGAGCCAGGCAUGUGCAACUGGUGUAGUUCAGUAGUACAGAAACACCUCCAACAAACACACUCCGGGCCAGAAACUUCAGUUACAAAAUACAGUCAAUAUGACAAUCAGUACACAGAGUAGAGACCAUUACUCUUAGAUUCUGCACACUUAAAAAAAAAAAAAAAAGAACUUUAUACAA